UACGUAGGGGGCAAGCGUUGUCCGGAAUUAUUGGGCGUAAAGCGCGCGCAGGCGGUACAUUAAGUCUGGUGUUUAAGCCCGGGGCUCAACCCCGGAUCGCACCGGAAACUGGUGGACUGGAGUGCAGAAGAGGAAAGCGGAAUUCCACGUGUAGCGGUGAAAUGCGUAGAGAUGUGGAGGAACACCAGUGGCGAAGGCGGCUUUCUGGUCUGUAACUGACGCUGAGGCGCGAAAGCGUGGGGAGCAAACAGG
rnacentral:rRNA from 1 species